rnacentral:snoRNA from 1 species
CCCCGCCAGAUUCCUUACCCCUCAGCUCUAAACAUUGGUCUGGGCGACUCAAAAGGGAGGACAAUUAAAAUGGACUUGGGGAGUUUGAAUGACAUACAAGCUCACUUCAAACAUAA